AACGAACGCUGGCGGCAUGCCUAACACAUGCAAGUCGAACGAGACCUUCGGGUCUAGUGGCGCACGGGUGCGUAACGCGUGGGAACCUGCCCUUAGGUUCGGAAUAACUCCCCGAAAGGGGUGCUAAUACCGGAUAAUGUCUUCGGACCAAAGAUUUAUCGCCUUUGGAUGGGCCCGCGUUGGAUUAGCUAGUUGGUAGGGUAAAAGCCUACCAAGGCGACGAUCCAUAGCUGGUCUGAGAGGAUGAUCAGCCACACUGGGACUGAGACACGGCCCAGACUCCAACGGAAGGAGGCAGUGGGAAUAUUGGACAAUGGGCGAAAGCCUGAUCCAGCAAUGCCGCGUGAGUGAUGAAGGCCUUAGGGUUGUAAAGCUCUUUUACCCGGGAUGAUAAUGACAGUACCGGGAGAAUAAGCGCCGGCUAACUCCGUG
rnacentral:rRNA from 1 species